GACUAGUUGCCCGAGCGGCCAACGGGAGGGGACUGUAAAUCCCCAUACCUUCGAAGGUUCAAAUCCGCACUCCAAGCCACCA
rnacentral:tRNA from 1 species